GCGGGAAUAGCUCAGUUGGUAGAGCAUCAGCCUUCCAAGCUGAGGGUCGCGGGUUCGAAUCCCGUUUCCCGCUCUA
rnacentral:tRNA from 2 species